rnacentral:rRNA from 1 species
GGCCUUUUGAGUAUGAUUUAAGGUCUAACCUGCCCAAUGAGUUUUUAAAUGGCCGCGGUAUUUUGACCGUGCAAAGGUAGCAUAAUCAUUAGUUUUUUAAUUAAAAGCUGGAAUGAAAGGUUGAAUGAAAAAAUAACUGUCUCUAUUUAAAUUUAUUAGAAUUUUAUUUUUAAGUAAAAAAGCUUAAAUUUCGUUAGAAGACGAGAAGACCCUAUAGAGUUUUAUUAAUGGUUUUUAUAAAAUUUUAGUAUUUAAGUUUUUGUAAUUAAAAUUAAUUUAGUUGGGGUGAUUAAAAAAUUUGAUAAACUUUUUUUUAAUUUAAACAUUUAUUUAUGAAUAUUUGAUCCUUUUUUUAAAGAUUAAAAGAUACAAUUACCUUAGGGAUAACAGCGUAAUUUUCCUAGAGAGUUCAAAUCGAAAGGAAAGAUUGCGACCUCGAUGUUGGAUUAAAAUAAAAUUUUGGUGUAGAAGCUAAAGUAUUUGGGUCUGUUCGACCUUUAAAAUUUUACAUGAUCUGAGUUUAAACCGGCGUGAGCCAGGUUGGUUUCUAUCUCUAUUAAUUGAAAAUGCCUUAGUACGAAAGGACCAGGCAUUUAAUUUAAAAUUUUAUUAUAGAACAAUAUU